CACAGAAACACACAAUGCAUCCCUUACAUACACACUGCCUCCCUUACACACAGAAACACACAAUGCAUCCCUUGCAUACACACUGCCUCCCUUACACACAGAAACACACAAUGCAUCCCUUGCAUAUACACUGCCUUCCUUACACACAAACACACAAUGCAUCCCUUGCAUACACACUGCCUCCCUUACACACAGAAACACAC